GGACAUAGCGAACUUACUAUACAUGACAGUCGAGCGGACAGAUGGGAGCUUGCUCCCUGAUGUUAGCGGCGGACGGGUGAGUAACACGUGGGUAACCUGCCUGUAAGACUGGGAUAACUCCGGGAAACCGGGGCUAAUACCGGAUGGUUGUUUGAACCGCAUGGUUCAAACAUAAAAGGUGGCUUCGGCUACCACUUACAGAUGGACCCGCGGCGCAUUAGCUAGUUGGUGAGGUAACGGCUCACCAAGGCAACGAUGCGUAGCCGACCUGAGAGGGUGAUCGGCCACACUGGGACUGAGACACGGCCCAGACUCCUACGGGAGGCAGCAGUAGGGAAUCUUCCGCAAUGGACAAAAGUCUGACGGAACAACGCCGCGUGAGUGAUGAGGGUUUUCGGAUCGUAAAGCUCUGUUGUUAGGGAAAAACAAGUACCGUUCAAAUAGGGGGGUACCUUGACGGUACCUAACCAGAAACCCACGGCUAACUACGUGCCACCACCCGCGUUAAUACUUAUGUAGCAAGCUUUCUCCAGAUUUAGGGCGCAUAGGGGUCUCAAGCGGUUUUUCUUAUCUCUAAUGUAAGCCCCCCGGCCCUCCCUCGGGGAGGGAGUUCUCUUGGUAAUACUGGGCGAGACACUUCACUCUGCCAGAAGAAGGAGAGAUGGAAUCUUCCCACGCUGCCAACACGUUAGAAGCGCGGUAAACGACUCGUGAGAAGGAAACACCCCCUGGUCGAAUGGCCGACUCCUGUGGGUUCCGUAAGUGUACGGUCAUGAAGGAUGCGGAUACCCCUGGGGGUAGCGAAUCCAUGAUUAGUACACCCUCUCGGUACGUCCAGCGCCCGUCAAACGACCGAGUGGCUGAUGCUGCUCAAGAGGGUUUACCGCCCCCUCUAGCGUGCUGGCAGUGUGAAGUUCAUUAAUCCACCUCCCUCCUGGGGGGGAAGUGAUUGCCCCGCAAAUGAUCUGAGAGACCUCACACAGCGCAAUUGUGGGGGGGCGCGCACAAGCGGUGGAGCAUGUGGUUUAAUUUGAAGCAACGUGAAGACCCUUACCAGGUUUUGACAUCUUCUGACAAUCCUAGAGAUAGGACGUCCCCUUUGGGGGCAGAGUGACAGGUGGUGCAUGGUUGUCGUCAGCUCGUGUUGUGAGAUGUUGGGUUAAGUCCCGCAACGAGCGCAACCCUUGAUCUUAGUUGCCAGCAUUCAGUUGGGCACUUUAAGGUGACUGCCGGUGACAAACCGGAGGAAGGUGGGGAUGACGUCAAAUCAUCAUGCCCCUUAUGACCUGGGCUACACACGUGCUACAAUGGACAGAACAAAGGGCAGCGAAACCGCGAGGUUAAGCCAAUCCCACAAAUCUGUUUUCAGUUCGGAUCGCAGUUUGCAACUUGACUGCGUGAAGCGGAAUCGCUUGUAAUCGCGGAUCAGCAUGCCGCGGUGAAUACGUUCCCGGGCCUUGUACACACCGCCCGUCACACCACGAGAGUUUGUAACACCCGAAGUCGGUGAGGUAACCUUUUAGGAGCCCGCCGCCGAAGGUGGGACAGAUGAUGGGGUCAAGUUUUAAUUCAAAGUGAGUUUGUGCCC
rnacentral:rRNA from 2 species